rnacentral:rRNA from 1 species
ACGGGGCGCAGCAGGCGCGAAACCUUUACAAUGCGGGCAACCGUGAUAAGGGAACCUCGAGUGCCUGUAAACGCAGGCUGUUCAGGUGUUUAAAACGCACCUGGAGAAAGGGCCGGGCAAGACCGGUGCCAGCCGCCGCGGUAAUACCGGCGGCUCGAGUGGUGGCCGCUUUUAUUGGGCUUAAAGCGUUCGUAGCUGGGUUGUUAAGUCUCUUGGGAAAUCUGGCGGCUUAACCGUCAGGCGUCUAAGGGAUACUGGCAAUCUUGGAACCGGGAGAGGUGAGGGGUACUUCGGGGGUAGGGGUGAAAUCCUGUAAUCCUCGAGGGACCACCUGUGGCGAAGGCGCCUCACCAGAACGGCUUCGACAGUGAGGGACGAAAGCUGGGGGAGCAAACCGGAUUAGAUACCCGGGUAGUCCCAGCCGUAAACGAUGCGCGUUAGGUGUAUCGGUGACCACGAGUUACCGAGGUGCCGAAGGGAAACCGUGAAACGCGCCGCCUGGGAAGUACGGUCGCAAGGCUGAAACUUAAAGGAAUUGGCGGGGGAGCACA